rnacentral:tRNA from 1 species
GCAGAUGUAACUCAAUGGUAGAGUACUUGCCUAGCAUGCAUAAGGCCCUGGAUGAAAUUCCCAGCACUACA